GAUGAGAGAGUGGGCUGCCAGUGCUGAGGGGAAUCAUGGAGUGGUUUGGGUUGGGAGGGACCCUAAAUCCCAACCCUGUGUAAGAAACUUAAACCUCCCACUGUCCCAGGCUGCUCCCAGCCCCUCCAGCCUGGCCUUGGGCACUGCCAGGGAUCCAGGGACAGCCACAGCUGCUCUGGGCACCGUGUGCCAGGGAUUCCUUCACCAGUCUUCACCAGUUUGAAGCCAUUCUCCCUUGUUCUGCCACUGCCUGCCCUGGUACAAAGUCUCUCACCAGCUCUCUUUAGACCCUUUAGGUACUGGAGGGUGCUCUCAGGUCUCUCCAUAGCCUUCACCUCUCCAAGCUGAGCAGCUCCAGUGAAGGGGAUGCUGGUAAUGUCCAGGGCACCAGGGACUGGAUGUUCCCUCCACUCCUGCCCCAGGACUCCUGAGGCAAUCUCAUGGCUUGGCACCAGCCACUGCUGGCUUUGGUGUGUCCAGUGUCACUGAAAUGCCUCAAAUCUGGCUCAUAUUUUCAUUUUUAUUUCUCUUUUGGAGUCUUGCCCUCUGGUGUUGUUACCAAUUUGACAUCCCAGCAGAUGCAUCCAGGGUAGACACGUUCCCCAUUCCAGAGGCAGUGGAAACAGUGGCACUUCCAGCAUGGAUGUUUUGAUUCCCACCUCUGUGGCCAUGGCCCUGGUCACAUAUUCCUGCAGCAGUCAACAGCUCAAGAGCCCAUAGAGAGCUCCUUCUCUUACCUCCUCCUUCUCACAUGGCUGGGAAAAGCGAGACUGUCAUGGCAGUGAGACACCUUGGCCUUGCUGUCUGAAGAGGGUCCGUAAAAGCUACAGAGAUAGAAGCUAAAGGAGCGUAAUGGACUGCAAAGGAACCACUGAAGCUGACUCCUGUAGUUUCUUACACAGCCUCCAUUGGACUAAAACAGUGUUUUACAGCUUUUGGUGCUCAGCUACAGCAGCAUCUGUGGAAUCACCGGGGUGCUGGACCUAAGGCAGCCUUUGUGGAAGCACCUUUUGUGCAUCUUUUCCAGUUAAUAAACGACAAGCUCAGUCUUAGAUGUGAAUAAAUCUGUACAGUAAAGCCAUUAGAGCUGGCAAGAAGUGUUCGAAAAUGCAUCAUUUUGGGAACGUUUUAAAUACAGAUGUCAGCUACUGCAGUAAAUCAACUGCAGUGUAGAGCUGUGCAUUUUGGUAGACAGCAUACUUCUAUGUUCUAGAAACAAAUGUGUUACUGCCUGAAGUUAUAAAUGUUUUCUGUAUGCUUCUUUCAUAAUCUUAGUUAUUUAUGGAAAAAGGUGUUUGCUUGCAGGUUUCUUUGGGACACAGCUUGUGAAAAUACAACUACUUCUUGUAAAAUGAAACUUUAUUCUAAAAUGUAUCCAAAAUUGCAAGACACAAGCACCAUUAAACAGAUAAAUAGACAUAUAUUUAUAUACAGAGAGCAUCAAAACACAAAACAAUUGUUAAUAUAAUUCUUAUA